rnacentral:rRNA from 1 species
GACGAACGCUGGCGGCGCGCUUAACACAUGCAAGUCGAGCGAUGAAACUUUAACAGCCCCCUUCGGGGCGAAGAUAAAGUGGAUUAGCGGCGGACGGGUGAGUAACACGUGAGUAACCUGCCUUAAACAUUGGGAUAGCCUCGGGAAACCGGGAUUAAUACCAAAUAAAAUCAUAAUGACACAUGUCAUAACGAUCAAAACUCCGGUGGUCUAAGAUGGACUCGCGUCCCAUUAGCUAGUUGGUAGAGUAAAAGCCUACCAAGGCGACGAUGGGUAGCCGGCCUGAGAGGGUGAACGGCCACAUUGGAACUGAGAAACGGUCCAAACUCCUACGGGAGGCAGCAGUGGGGAAUAUUGCACAAUGGAGGGAACUCUGAUGCAGCGACGCCGCGUGAACGAAGAAGGCUUUCGAGUCGUAAAGUUCUUUUAUAUGGGAAGAUAAUGACGGUACCAUAAGAAAAAGCCCCGGCUAACUACGUG